rnacentral:lncRNA from 1 species
ACCGCAAACUGGUGAUGGAGUGGGAAGUGGCUAUUAUGACAUAGUUGGAUCCCACUCUUUUUUCACCUCCUGCCCACCUCAGGUUAUCCCCCAUUGUGCCCUGAGUCCAUAGCCUGGUACCCAGUUUAGCCUAGGCAGAACCCAGGAGAGAAAUGGGCAGCGGUUGGUGGAAUCGACACUGAGGCCUGCUCGUUCUCAGCCCUGGCUCUUUGUCUGCUGCUUUGUGAUGGUAAGUGCUGCUCCUAAAUCAGUUCUGUGACACUGUUAUUGUUGCCCAGGGCGCAAAGAGUCUAAACUUUUCCCCUGAGGUCAAGAAUGUGGCCGGUCCCCAAGCCGCCCAGCGUAAGGCCUGGGUGGCUGGGGGUGGGGCUGGGGCCUCACCCCGAGCUGGGGCGAGAUGUGGGGGGGAGGGGGGUCAGUGGGAACAAAACGCUUUGAAAUGCCUCCUCUCCAUCACUGCCAACAUUGUCCGCUGCCCGCGGGGGGCCUGGCACCGCCUCCCGGGGCUCCGGCCCCCAGCCCUGGCCAGGCCCGGCCGCAUCUGAAAAUGGACAGAAGGUUAUUGUCCCUUCCCGCAGCCCUUUGUCUGCCCCAGUUCCAGAUGUCUAGGCUGGGACCAGGGAACUGACCCAUGGUGGGCAGGGGGGAGGGGACAAAGGGGAAGAGCACGGGUCACUGCAUCCUGAGGGGUCGUUCCCAGACCCUGAGAUCCCACCCAGCCCCAGUCAAGUCACCUUCUGGGCUGUCUUAUCCCUCAGAUUGUCCCUAUUCCCUUGCCCUUUCCCCAGACCAGGUUCUGGCCUCAGGAGAGAAGGCACAGGGAGACAGAGUUAGAACAGGCGGCCUUGGGAGAUCCAGCAGAUGGGCUGAAUUUCAACUCUCCCCAGGUGACUGGUAACUGUGAUCUUGGGCACAUUGUGGUCCUCUUCCAGCCUGCUUUCCCCUGGACCAGGCUUCAGUCACAUAUUAGGACAGGGCACCCCCCAUGUACCCACUCUGUGCUGACCAUGGAGGUGCUCCUUGGUGGCACUCAGAUCCUUCCAGAUUGUGGUUAACGGUUACUCUAGCUUUCCCACCACACCUUCUGUGUUGGGUCCUGGACUAACCACUUGCAUUUUCUUAUCCUUUCCACAACAAAAUCAGGGAUGCAGUACCCUUGUUCUUUUCUCCAUUUUCCAGUUUUGGAGACUGAGAGAUUGAGAAAGAAAGUCCCUUGCCCAAAGGAGGUGCUGAGCUGGAAUUCUAGCCCAGGCUGACCGCAGCCACCAGGAGUAAUCCACUAAUAAAUACUUGGAAGGUGUUGCGCACAGCUCCUGGCACAGCGCCCAACUCAACAUCUGGGAACUGGUGGGGUGUUAACUCCAUCCACUGGUUUCCCCAUUUCUCAGAGGCCCAGACUAGGAAAAGAGAGCCAGGGUCAGAGGGCUCAGGGAACCUUAAACAGCAAUACCUGGUGUGUGUGCGUGGUGGUUGGGGGGGGGGUGAUUCCAGAGCCAUCAGGAUUGGCCAGAUAAGCAGGUUUCAAACCCUACUCGCUGUGAGCUAUGACUUAGACUCUCUAUAUUUUGGUUUCCUCGUUUCCUCUUCUGGAAAGUAAAUAUGUUCCCCACAUCAUGAGGUUGUUGGGAAAAGGAAAUCAGGUGAUCCAUCUUAAGCACUCAGCACAAUGGCUGCCACACAUCAAACAGUUAAGGGUGGGUAUUAGUACUAUAAUUAUUCUGAUAAAAUUUGAUGGCCCUUUGAACCUCCGCAUCACCUGGGUUCACCUGAGGACAAGGCUCUGUGUGAGUAGCAAGUUAGCAGUUGUUGGGGGGGCGGGGGAUAAGAUACUCCAUCUUCUUGGAGUCCUUAAAAGUCCUUGGGACAGGAUACUCUGUGGGUUUGGGGAAGGCAAAAAGGAU